UGCCCCCUGGCCCAGCUGGUUAAGGCGCACGACUGUUAGCUCGUGCAGGCAUCGUGAGAUCGAGAGUUCAAACCUCUCGGGGGCAG